CGUGCAGUUCCAUAACAAGGCAGCAGACUAGCUCAAAAGAACAUGAAGACAGCAAGGUGAAGUACCCACAAAUCGGUGCUGAGAAAUCUGUUUUUUCAAUUGUUUGUUUUUGAUUAUAUCAUACUCUUCUUCAGUAGGACCCAUUUUUUGGAGUGUGCAAGAAUGGUCUCAGCUCUUUGAACAGAAAAGGACUCUGGUCUGAAGAUUUAUCCUCUGUGUUCAGGUGGAGACUUAUUCGAGCUCCUGAAGGUUUCAAAGCCACUGAGCACUCUGAGAAGCUGAGAAGAGCUGGGGACUGCACUGACAUGAAUGGCUGAGGUGUCUGUGAGCUCAGCUAACCUUCUUGUGAAUAAGACCAAAUAAGAAACAUCAGAAAGGAAAUCCUUUCAUUUCCUGUGAUGAUUCUAUGGAAGUUUUUUAUUUCCAACAAGGUGGAAGAACAUCAACACAAUGCUGCUAGAGUUGCUUUGAGCAGAUUAUACAUCUAGAUGAGUUUUAUCUCUCCGACAAAGCAGCAACAACAAUCUAGUUCUCAUCUAUUGUUUUAUCUGUUUGGAUUUUAAUUAUAAAUGAUUAAAUCAGAUAUUGACUGCAAAACGUGUGUGCACAAGCACAUGCGUGAUCACAUCUGACCAUCUUUUGUACCAAAUUAGAAAUAAAAAAACUUCUGUACUAUUGAU
rnacentral:lncRNA from 1 species